rnacentral:rRNA from 1 species
AUGGCCUGCAUGUUCUUCUCCUCCGGGGCCAGCACCACCCGCAGCUCGCCGCUGACCCGCUGCAGGUCGUGGUCGAAGCGGCCCCUCGGCUUGGCGGCGGCGAUGGCGACGUCCACGACGCUGGCCUCGACCAAGCCUUCGCCAGUUCCGCGCGGUGCUCUACUACCGCGACCGGCCGGUGCCGCGAUGUCAGAUGCGAAGGAGCGGCGAGGCGACCCGGCGAAGCAGCGGCGAGGCGACCCGUCGCAGCUGAGCCUGCGGCCAGCAUGGACGCGGCCGGGGGCGCAGCAGCGGCGGGGUGAUCCGACGGAACGGAGCCUGCGGCCAGCGUGGACGCGACACCUGGUCGAGCGACCGCGCGGAUUGCCCCGUGGCGGACGUCGCGUACCCGGCGUCCGAGCGGACGUGGUCGCGGCUGUCGCGCGCGCCAGCGCGGGCGGCAUGCGGGUCAAGGCCGUCAGCGGCUUCGCGCACACCAUCCCGAAGCUGGCCUGCCCCGGCGGCGGGAACGGCAGCGCGGCGUCUCUGCUCAUCUCGACCCUCAAUGGUUUUUCUUGCCUACAAAUGGAAGAUCGAACUGGUUGCAAGUGUAAAAAUGCCCUCGUGUAG